rnacentral:lncRNA from 1 species
GUACGUUGGAAAGAACAUUGGAUGGGGUGCCACAAGGACCUCCAUCUGAAUCCUUGUUCCAUCGAGAACUCUGUGUGCCUUGAACAAGCCAGUUGAGCUCUCUCAGCCUCAGUUUCCCUACUUGUAAAACCACAGUGUUGGAUGAGUCAAUGACUCUCAUUUCUGCCAGAGCAUGAGACUCCCCGGGGGGAAAGAAUAUCAGUGUGGGCUGAAUCAGAAGCUCCAGGUGGAGAGCUAGAUCAUAAUCUCCGAAGAGGUCAGGUGUCACGACGGGGUUGGCUCUGCCACUGAGCCUACCCUACGUGUGUCUGUCUUUAAUUUAGGAGGGGCCGUACGGCCCCCUCUUCAUGGGAUCUGGAGGAGGGACACGUGUUUGUCACUUUCUUCUGCAGGUAGGAGCGUCAGCACCAUGAAGUUGGGAACCCCCAGCCCCAGGUGGUGGGAAGGCUCGUGCUGGCUUCUGAGCUGCCCACAGUGACUGAGAAUGACGCAUGAAAACAGCAGCUGAAAAUGUCACCACCCACCUCCCCCACUUUCCAUGAAAAAAAAAAAAACAAAAACGAAACAUUGGCCCAGGGCAAUGCAGUCUGUGAGCAAAACGAAGCAGCAACCGUUUAUUUGUGGCCAGAGACAAAGUUUCCCUUGAAAUCAGUGUUGCUCAUGACCAUCUUUAUCCACUGUCCACAGACAAAUAGAUUCCUGAACGGGUCUCUGUGGCUAAAGCCCAUUCAGUUCUAUAGAGUCAGGCCCAACCUCACACCCCAGGGGUGAUGUGGCAGGAACGCUUUAUGAUAUGCCACUUAAAACCUGUCAACCCCAGGGUCCUCAUUUUUAAAGGGGAGAUCCUCCCCGCCCGGGCUGCCAUCCAGCAUGGGCAUGAAAUUCUGUGCAGAGCAGCGCUGUGCAUCAGUUACCCUGGACAGCAUCCCUUUAUCACUGCGACCUUCCGUCCUUCUCAAGGUCUCAUCUGACUAGUGGGAAUCGGGGCCGCUACCUCCGCAGCUCAGGGGAGCUGAGCCAGCUGUCCUUUGGUCCCUCCUCCCCGACAGGGACUCCCUGGCAAUCACUGACUUUGGCAUCAAUCACUAUCUUUAUGGAAAAUCAGAGGAACUCCUAUCAAUAAAAGUUAGGCCGGGGAUGUGGAAGUAUACAGCAACCUGACCAGCGUGGGCCUUCGUCAUAAAGGGUCACAUAAGUUAUUGAAAAGUUGUAAAUACAUGAUUCAGAGCCCAGCAUCCUCAGAGUUGGAAGAAGAGCCAGAAGGUCUUUGGUCCACCCUCA